rnacentral:tRNA from 1 species
CAUUAAGUGACUGAAAGGCAAGUAAUGGUCUCUUAAACCAAUAAAUAGUAAAAUAGCAUAUACUCUUAAUGU